rnacentral:lncRNA from 1 species
UAUGGGAGACCACAGCCCAUCUCGUGUGGCGAUUAUUCUACUAUCAGUUGUAGUGUACGCCGUAGCUCUGGCAUUCAAUGCUCUGGCAGGAUCUGGGAAAGGUCCAUUCUUGCGUAACACAGGAAAUGUAUCGGGUAGUUACGAGACGGAAAUAACUCCUGCGGGAUGGACUUUCUCCAUAUGGGGACUUAUAUAUACCUGGCUCUCAAUUAUGCUCAUCUAUGUCCUGACAUGGUUUUGCAGAAGGACUCCUGGUGGUUGGAUGUACUGCAGCCCAGCACUUCUUCCUUGUGGAUUCUUCCUCUCCUGGAUCAUCAAUAUGAUUCUUAACAUCACCUGGCUUUUCCUAUGGGACAGAGAGGAGAUGGUCCCUGCACUGAUAGUGCUAGCGCUGAUUGUCUUCACCAACUACCUGCUUAUCUUCUUCUCCUGUCGCGGCCUCAGUGCCCAUGGCAGCUGGCUCAGUCAGCACCAUCCCAAAGACCUCUGGUGCAUCAGAGUACUUGUCCAGAAUGGCAUUGCUGUUUACACUACAUGGACGACCAUAGCCACACUCAUUAAUUUGACAAUAGUGAUGGGCAUCUCUGGGGUCUCAAAGACAAAUGCCGCCACAGUCUCUCUUUCUCUUCUCCUGAUUGAGGUCCUUGGGUGGUUCGUUGUGGAGAAUUUUGUGAUUGACAGACAUGUGCGGUACAUCCUCACAGUUUAUCCUGUUGUGAUUGUGGCUCUGGUUGGUAAUGUGUAUAAACACUAUGACCCUGAGGCACCUGGACGGAAUGCUAAGUUUACAGUUGUCCUCCUGGUCCUGGCCUGUUUGCUGUUUGUGUUUCGAGUCGUCAUGGUGAUAUGGAGAAACAGGAAGCAGCCUAUUUAUUACAGCACCAGUAGGGAACCACUCACAACACCCAGAAACUCAACCAAAUAGAAGGAGAGAGCACCCUGUGCAGCAGUGUUACCUGUCCGCUACUAUGGACACUAGCCCUUGCUUACACCCUGGGACCACAUGCGGGGGUGAUAUACCAUACCUAUCUUGCCUGGUGUGCCAUACAUACAGUAUCUACAAAGUAUUUUUAAUGAUCUUUAACAGCUCUAUAUUUUGUUACACUAACUGGGACCUCUUUUACAUUUUCAUGGAAAGUUGAAGCAAUUGUAUAACUUGCACUACCCACCUUUUUAUAUCUAUAUUUGUCAUGUUUGUAUUGAAUGACUAAAUAAAUAAAUCUUUUAAACAUGAGCA